CCAGAAGCAGGCAGAGGUUUAGAGGCAGCAGAACCAUGGGAGGCCAAGGUGGUAGGAUCACUUGAAGUUGGGAGUUCAAGACCAGCCUGACCAACAUGGUGAAACCUCGCCUCCACUGAAAAUACAAAAAUUAGCUGGGCAUGGUGGCAGGCACCUGUAAUCCUAGCUACUCGCUAAGACUGAGGCAGGAGAAUCGCUUGAACCCAGGAGACGGAAGUUGCAGUGAGCCGAGAUCAUGCCACUGCACUCCAGCCUGGGCAACAGGGCGAGACUCCACCUCAAAAAAAAAAAAAAUGUGUAAUUAACUGUUCCCCAUGUCAAUAAAUAUUCUCUUCU
rnacentral:lncRNA from 10 species